CGGACGACGCUGGCGGCGUGGAUUAGGCAUGCAAGUCGGACGGUAGGGCUUUAUCGUAAGAUAGAGUUUGAGAGUGGCGAACGGGUGAGUAACACGUAGGUUAUCUACCCUCAAGACGGGGACAACCCAGGGAAACUUGGGCUAAUACCGGAUGUGAGCAACUUUUAGUUGUUUGAAAGGUGGCGUAAGCUGUCGCUUGGGGAUGAGCCUGCGUCCUAUUAGUUAGUUGGUGAGGUAACGGCUCACCUAGGCAAUGAUAGGUAGGCGGCCUUAACGGGUGGUCGCCCACACUGGGAUUGAGAUACGGCCCAGACUCCUACGGGAGGCAGCAGUCGAGAAUAGUCUACAAUGGUCGGAAGACUGAUAGUGCGACGCCGCGUGAACGAUGAAUCCCUUCGGGGUGUAAAGUUCUUUUAUAUGUGAGCAGUGCUUCUUAUAUUAACAGUAUGGGGAGAGAGAUAUUAGCAUAUGAAUAAGCAACGGCUAACUCCGUG
rnacentral:rRNA from 1 species